GAGAAGGCUAUGUUGGCCGGGCGACGGUUGUCCCGGUUUAAGCGUGUAGGCUGGUUUUCCAGGCAAAUCCGGAAAACCAAGGCUGAGGCGUGAUGACGAGGCACUACGGUGCUGAAGCGACAAAUGCCCUGCUUCCAGGAAAAGCCUCUAAGCAUCAGGUAACAUUAAAUCGUACCCCAAACCGACACAGGUGGUCAGGUAGAGAAUACCAAGGCGCUUGAGAGAACUCGGGUGAAGGAACUAGGCAAAAUGGUGCCGUAACUUCGGGAGAAGGCACGCUGAUAUGUAGGUGAAGCGACUUGCUCGUGGAGCUGAAAUCAGUCGAAGAUACCAGCUGGCUGCAACUGUUUAUUAAAAACACAGCACUGUGCAAACACGAAAGUGGACGUAUACGGUGUGACGCCUGCCCGGUGCCGGAAGGUUAAUUGAUGGGGUUAGCGGUAACGCGAAGCUCUUGAUCGAAGCCCCGGUAAACGGCGGCCGUAACUAUAACGGUCCUAAGGUAGCGAAAUUCCUUGUCGGGUAAGUUCCGACCUGCACGAAUGGCGUAAUGAUGGCCAGGCUGUCUCCACCCGAGACUCAGUGAAAUUGAACUCGCUGUGAAGAUGCAGUGUACCCGCGGCAAGACGGAAAGACCCCGUGAACCUUUACUAUAGCUUGACACUGAACAUUGAGCCUUGAUGUGUAGGAUAGGUGGGAGGCUUUGAAGUGUGGACGCCAGUCUGCAUGGAGCCGACCUUGAAAUACCACCCUUUAAUGUUUGAUGUUCUAACGUUGGCCCGUAAUCCGGGUUGCGGACAGUGUCUGGUGGGUAGUUUGACUGGGGCGGUCUCCUCCUAAAGAGUAACGGAGGAGCACGAAGGUUGGCUAAUCCUGGUCGGACAUCAGGAGGUUAGUGCAAUGGCAUAAGCCAGCUUGACUGCGAGCGUGACGGCGCGAGCAGGUGCGAAAGCAGGUCAUAGUGAUCCGGUGGUUCUGAAUGGAAGGGCCAUCGCUCAACGGAUAAAAGGUACUCCGGGGAUAACAGGCUGAUACCGCCCAAGAGUUCAUAUCGACGGCGGUGUUUGGCACCUCGAUGUCGGCUCAUCACAUCCUGGGGCUGAAGUAGGUCCCAAGGGUAUGGCUGUUCGCCAUUUAAAGUGGUACGCGAGCUGGGUUUAGAACGUCGUGAGACAGUUCGGUCCCUAUCUGCCGUGGGCGCUGGAGAACUGAGGGGGGCUGCUCCUAGUACGAGAGGACCGGAGUGGACGCAUCACUGGUGUUCGGGUUGUCAUGCCAAUGGCACUGCCCGGUAGCUAAAUGCGGAAGAGAUAAGUGCUGAAAGCAUCUAAGCACGAAACUUGCCCCGAGAUGAGUUCUCCCUGACUCCUUGAGGGUCCUGAAGGAACGUUGAAGACGACGACGUUGAUAGGCCGGGUGUGUAAGCGCAGCGAUGCGUUGAGCUAACCGGUACUAAUGAACCGUGAGGCUUAACCUUACAACGCCGAAG
rnacentral:rRNA from 1 species